UACCAGCACCCCGAGUGGUCGGGACGAUUAUUGGGCCUAAAGCAUCCGUAGCCGGUUCUACAAGUCUUCCGUUAAAUCCACCUGCUUAACAGAUGGGCUGCGGAGGAUACUAUAGAGCUAGGAGGCGGGAGAGGCAAGCGGUACUCGAUGGGUAGGGGUAAAAUCCGUUGAUCCAUUGAAGACCACCAGUGGCGAAGGCGGCUUGCCAGAACGCGCUCGACGGUGAGGGAUGAAAGCUGGGGGGAGCAAACCGGG
rnacentral:rRNA from 1 species